rnacentral:rRNA from 1 species
CCUACGGGCGGCAGCAGUCGAGAAUCAUUCACAAUGGGGGAAACCCUGAUGGUGCGACGCCGCGUGGGGGAGUGAAGGUCUUCGGAUUGUAAACACCUGUCAUGUGGGAGCAAAUUAAAAAGAUAGUACCACAAGAGGAAGAGACGGCUAACUCUGUGCCAGCAGCCGCGGUAAUACAGAGGUCUCAAGCGUUGUUCGGAAUCACUGGGCGUAAAGCGUGCGUAGGCUGUUUCGUAAGUCGUGUGUGAAAGGCGCGGGCUCAACCCGCGGACGGCACAUGAUACUGCGAGACUAGAGUACUGGAGGGGGAACCGGAAUUCUCGGGGUAGCAGUGAAAUGCGUAGAUAUCGAGAGGAACACUCGUGGCGAAGGCGGGUUCCUGGACAUUAACUGACGCUGAGGCACGAAGGCCAGGGGAGCGAAAGGGAUUAGAUACCCCUGUAGUC